GAUGAACGCUGGCGGCGUGCCUAAUACAUGCAAGUCGAGCGAACAGACGAGGAGCUUGCUCCUCUGACGUUAGCGGCGGACGGGUGAGUAACACGUGGAUAACCUACCUAUAAGACUGGGAUAACUUCGGGAAACCGGAGCUAAUACCGGAUAAUAUAUUGAACCGCAUGGUUCAAUAGUGAAAGACGGUUUUGCUGUCACUUAUAGAUGGAUCCGCGCCGCAUUAGCUAGUUGGUAAGGUAACGGCUUACCAAGGCAACGAUGCGUAGCCGACCUGAGAGGGUGAUCGGCCACCCUGGAACUGAGACACGGUCCAGACUCCUACGGGAGGCAGCAGUAGGGAAUCUUCCGCAAUGGGCGAAAGCCUGACGGAGCAACGCCGCGUGAGUGAUGAAGGUCUUCGGAUCGUAAAACUCUGUUAUUAGGGAAGAACAAAUGUAUAAGUAACUAUGCACGUCUUGACGGUACCUAAUCAGAAAGCCACGGCUAACUACGUG
rnacentral:rRNA from 1 species